ACAAAGUUAAGGUAGCAUGAGUAAAGAUACAUAUUCACCAAGUUUUAUGACAUAAACAUCAGUGUGAUAAUGUGGGCAACCUAUUUCUUUCAAGGCAUAGAAUAGUCUCCGUUUGUAUUAUUGUCAGUUUGAGAUACCUGAUUUAUUAUGUAUAGCAUGCAAUAUGUUGGUGUAAUCACUUGAGGGUUUGUUAUUUGUAACGCUAGGUUCAUGUUCCUAAGUGCGUACUUCCAGCACGAUAAGAAAACAAACUAACAAUAACUUAGGAAUUAUAAACAUCGGUCAUGCAACCAGCUAGGUACAGGAAGCACACCAGAAAACCACGAAACAAAAAGAAAUUGUAAUUAAAAAGAAAUUAAAAACAGUGGAAUGAUCUUCCCAGUCUCAUCGUAUGCAGCAGUUAUGAUACGAAACUCGACGUUAUUUGUAUAAUGAGAUGAAGGCGACCAAUCUCAAGUAGGGCGCCGGGGAGACAUGGAGCAAAAUAUGCUAAAGUGCUAAACUAGGCAGGUCUUGCCCGACAAAAACACAUUUCAAAGUGACUUCAUGUGCAUAGCCAGCCGUGCACACAAAAAAGCGUUCAUACAUAUCAUACUAAUAUAGUACUAAACCAAAUAGUGCACCAAAUAUUAGUCAUGUUUCAUUAAUGAACAACAAUAAGCAUUUCAUUAGAGUUUCAAAGGGUAUCAAAGACAGCGACGGAUAUUCGUGAGGUACUAUGAAACGUGUUAUAACUGCGCACAUAUUAAAAUAGUAUGUUUAACACAAUAACGGCUACAAAGCGUUACAAAGUAUCGCUGGAGCAUAUUUUUGUGUUAAAACACAAUUAAACUUUGAUCAUUCAAAAUUCAAAGAAAAUUAGAGGCUAUAUUUGUAAAACAUUAGACCUCGUGAGGUAAAUAAAUUGCCCAUAAUAAACGCAACCAUCAACAGGGGUCAAAACAAGCUUAUUUAUUGCUAGUGGCAUUUACACAUAAUCGACCAGUACAUUUUGUGUAGUAAAUUGGCUGCAUCUACUAACUUUCAAUUGAUGUCAUAAGUAUAUUUUUAUCUCGUAGACCUAUGCGCAUUCGGUACGGGCGGAUUUCAUACUUUUUUACGGUCUAAAAUUCAGAACUAUCAGUUUUCGGAGCAAGGUAAGUAAUCUGUUAUCUCUUAUUUUAGUUUAAUUUAUACAACAGAUUACUAUGCGUCGGUGACAGCUUUCCACCUGGUGGGGAGGGUAAUAAUAGUUUGCUUCGCUCCCAGUUCAGCCGGGAGUAACUAAUUGUCCAACGGCGUCGGUCAAGGAUACUCAUGGCUAGUGUACCCUGGUAUAGGUCUACGAGAUCAAAAUAUUUCGUUUGUUGUAUUUUUUUUUCUCGCGAAUUUCUACAGGAUUUGAGUGCUACCGAAACCUUGUUUCUUUCCUUAGUAGGGUGAGUGAAGAAAACCACCCCCAAAUCGUUAUUAGGCAUACAUUAGACAACAACAAGACAUACGUCCUUAGUUUUAAGCAAUUUCAUUGGCAAAAUUUCACAAAAAAUAGCUACUUCAAUUGUUUUACCUCUAAGAACAGCCGAUUCCAAGCUACGAACAAGCUUCAAAACCAUUGCCUGGGCUACCUGUGAUCACACUCUCGCAAGUAAUGUGUAAAAAAAGACGCACUUCCUUGUAAAAGCGAUAUACGUUUUAACAUCAUUAGCAGGAAAGAAUGGCAAUUAUAUUAGAAUAAAUUCCACAUAAGUGUGCAAAAGAAUUAUCUGGUCACAAGUCUAGGGGGGAUUCUUAUGGGGGAACUAAAAAAAAACAAAGGCAGUCUGAUAGGAAAUAGUGACCUUUUUCAAAAUUCUUAUAGCCAUGUAUAAAUGAUAGACUUAAUAAGGCAGCAACGAAAAAAAUAAUGCCUUUACAGCUCCGAAGCUUUUGAAGCAAUGCAGCAAUUUCGAAGUUUCUUGAAGCUUUCGUGUGAGCGCGCGAUGAGGGAGUACUUAAUUGUCAUUAAAAAAAGGUGCGGCCGACGCAGAAUCUUGCGCCUCCUACAUCAAUAGAAAUAACUAGUUAUUUGAAUAAACAAAGCAAACCUGUACGUUUGGAUCACCGCAAUUGACGUCUUAAACAUAGCAGACGACAGCAGGUAGAUUAAGACUGAUAACAGAAAUGUUAAAGACGAAAGGCAUCUAAACAAUUAAAAAAAUGCAUGGUUGAAAGUCAGGAUCUACAGUUUAAAUGAAUACUUGAUCUAUUUAUUGACAAAAAAAAUUACAAAAAAUAAAAGAAAGUAUUGUUA